rnacentral:rRNA from 1 species
AGAGUUUGAUCCUGGCUCAGGAUGAACGCUGGCGGCGUGCCUAAUACAUGCAAGUCGAACGCACUGUGGUUCAACUGAUUUGAAGAGCUUGCUCUGAUAUGACGAUGAACAUUGCAGUGAGUGGCGAACGGGUGAGUAACACGUGGGAAACCUACCUCUUAGCGGGGGAUAACAUCUGGAAACAGAUGCUAAUACCGCAUAACACUAGCAACCGCAUGGUUGCUACUUGAAAGAUGGUUCUGCUAUCACUAAGAGAUGGUCCCGCGGCGCAUUAGUUAGUUGGUGAGGUAAUGGCUCACCAAGACGAUGAUGCGUAGCCGAGUUGAGAGACUGAUCGGCCACAAUGGGACUGAGACACGGCCCAUACUCCUACGGGAGGCAGCAGUAGGGAAUCUUCCACAAUGGACGAAAGUCUGAUGGAGCAACGCCGCGUGUGUGAUGAAGGGUUUCGGCUCGUAAAACACUGUUGUAAGAGAAGAAUAGCAUCAAGAGUAACUGCUUGGUGUGUGACGGCAUCUUACCAGAAAGGAACGGCUAAAUACGUGCCAGCAGCCGCGGUAAUACGUAUGUUCCAAGCGUUAUCCGGAUUUAUUGGGCGUAAAGCGAGCGCAGACGGUUUUUUAAGUCCGAAGUGAAAGCCCACAGCUUAACUGUGGAAGUGCUUUGGAAACUGGAUGACUUGAGUGCAGUAGAGGAGAGUGGAAUUCCAUGUGUAGCGGUGAAAUGCGUAGAUAUAUGGGAGGAACACCAGUGGCGAAGCGGCUCUCUGGGACUGUAACUGACGUUGAGGCUCGAAAGUGUGGGUAGCAAAC